ACACGCGUGAUGAGUCUGUGCA
rnacentral:siRNA from 1 species